UGGAAAGGCUCUCAGCAAAAGCCAGCCAGAAUGCUCCACGCUUUGGUUUUCCCAUCCAGACGGGGCUGCUGACCACACGCCGCGUCAGCUCCCAGGCAUCCCACGGCUCCGUAACCGCGUGGGAGCCCCGGCUGGGACCAAACCAUGGAGCCUCAUCUGCUGCUUUACUGGGAAAAAAAAAGUGGAGCGGGCUGUGAAACUCAGGGAAAAAUCACUCUACAACAGAGAAAGACAUUAUUUUCAUAGCACCGACACCCAGUUCGGUUUGACUCCCACAUUUACUUUUCUACGGACUUCUGUAUUGUUACGUUCGUGUGUAGCCUUAAUUAAAUAAACCAUAGCUUUUGCAGCAACAUCAUAGCAUGGAAACCCAAACAAUUUGUCCUGACAUCAUUUAACUUCUUCUUCUUUCUUUCGCUUCUUCUUGUCAAAAUAUUCAUCCGAGCUGGUGCGUUCACACGGAGUGUUUAGAUUUUGGAGACAUUUUUACAACCUAUUUGCAUUUUUAUGGAAAACUGUUCCAUCUGUUUAUUUCCCUGCUGCAGCCAGCGGGGACGGCUGGCAGUGGGGUUGGGAGCGCCCGGCCGCGGGCACGGCAGCACCAGGACUCGUUUCCUAUCUGCUCUCAGGUCCCACUGCCAAACCAAUCCCCCCAUACACCCACCCUGCAGAUUCCGGGACCCAAACUUGGCCGAUCGUUGGCAAAGUCCAGACCUUGGCUUAUUCCUUUGGGCAGCGGACACAGCUGAACGCAAUCAGCGCUGCUUUCAGGAGCUCCUCCUGCCUCCAGGAUACAAACAGCAGCCGGGUGUCCUCAGACGUGGGAUGUCUCCCCAGCACCACCACGUUGACGGUGCCUUCCAAAGCUAUAGCCCGGAGUGCCCUUGUGCUGGGAGCAAGCUCUGCAGCGCCAGCUGGACAGACAGCCAAGGACAGCCAUCCUCCCCAUCUCCUUGUGGUCUCUGUCCAGGACAGGUCAAGCUCAGGCGCUAAAACCGGAACGGCUGUGAUUGUGCUAUUUGAUAAAGGCAGAUGCCCAUAGAGCCUCUGCAAGUGGAUGAUGCUUUUGGGAUCUCCAAAGUGCACACAGAUGCACACAGGUGAAAUUUCAUUGCUUGUAUGAUAAUAUGUGUAAAAAUAAUAAUGAUACUCCUUGAAUCAUAGAGUCACAGUACCAUUAACAUCGGAAAAGACCUCUGAGACCCCCAAUCCCAGCCCACCCCCACCAUGCCCAUGGGCCAUACCCCUUACUAACACAAUCCUACAGUUCUGGAACACCCCCAGGGAAGUUCC
rnacentral:lncRNA from 1 species